UAAUUCUUCUUUUCUCUUCCCCUUACUUGAUACCUUUUUCUCUAUCCCUUUCUUCUUAUUCUUCUUCCAACCUCAUGACUGCAAUCACCCUAAAAAAUCGGCACCGGCAACUCCCACGCACACCAGCAGCCCUUUCAUCUUCGACGGUGGAACCCAACGCCGGAGCUCCACCUCACCACGCGUCCUCCCCCAAAAUGAAUAACACUUCAGAAGCUCCACCACAUCUUGGUUGUCCAACAUUUUCCUUCACCGUUAAAGCUUCCCUCUGGCCAAGAACGGUACAAUCACGAUCCUCACUUCAAGAGCUAUGUUUCACCCAACUUGACACCUCAGAGUCUUGACGGAGAGUGUGGUAGAUCUAGCCUUGUCGGAAGUUCUGCAAGUUGUGAUUUUUGAGUCAUUUUCUGCCCAAAUUAUUCUCUGGCCAUGUUCGAAAGAUUGGAGAGCACCUCAAGAGCUUGCCAUUGGUGGGUGUAGUUCACAUCACCGCCGUGGGUCGCCGCAAACCGCAACCAUCAUCGAUGUCUAUACAAUUACGGUGUAGCGUGGAUUCAUUUGAGGAGAAAUAUGAAGUAAACGUUGCUCUUAAAGAAUUUCCUAGCUAAUUGGAAUAUUACGGUUGCAAUAUACGAGGAGAUUAACAGAGUGAGUUAGGACACCCUCCAGCGGGUUAGGAUGCUAACUGGAAAUUUGAAGAGAACUUUUAUAUUGACUUAGGCCUAAGAUUUUAGUUAUCAUUUCUCUUAAUGUGAAGGAUGUUGAAAUUUGAAUUUGGAACUUAAAGGCAUUUUAUUAAUUUAUGCAAACUUUUGAGAUUAUUGACAAUGAUGCAUGGAUGACACUCUUUAGGAUUUUAUUUUGUUUACUUAUAUCUAAAUCAAUGUUUAAUAUGUGGUCACAUAAAUGUGGGGAUUUAGUAUGAACUCAAUAUAUGUUUGAUUACGUUUAA